rnacentral:rRNA from 1 species
AUUGAACGCUGGCGGCAUGCCUUACACAUGCAAGUCGAGCGGCAGCGCGGGGGCAACCCUGGCGACGAGCGGCGGACGGGUGAGUAAUACAUCGGAACGUGUCCUUUCGUGGGGGAUAACCAGUCGAAAGACUGGCUAAUACCGCAUGAGAUCUCACGAUGAAAGCGGGGGACCGCAAGGCCUCGCGCGAUUGGAGCGGCCGAUGUCGGAUUAGCUAGUUGGCGGGGUAAAAGCCCACCAAGGCGACGAUCCGUAGCUGGUUUGAGAGAACGACCAGCCACACGGGGACUGAGACACGGCCCAGACUCCUACGGGAGGCAGCAGUGGGGAAUUUUGGACAAUGGGCGCAAGCCUGAUCCAGCCAUGCCGCGUGUGUGAAGAAGGCCUUCGGGUUGUAAAGCACUUUCGGCCGGAACGAAAUCGCGCGGAUUAAUAACCCGCAUGGAUGACGGUACCGGAAGAAGAAGCACCGGCCAACUACGUGCCAGCCGCCGCCGUAACAC